UCAAGGAGUUGACUAGAGCUGCGUUUGGAUCUCAGAUAACAAACAGAUUGAGGAAGUUGGAAAAUGAAAGGAUUAGGAAUAUGGUUGAUGGUGGUGGGUUCACUCCGUUUGGCAUCUGUGUGGUUCGGUUUCUUUGACAUUUGGGCUCUCCGCCGCGCCGUCUUCUCUCAAACCACCAUGACUGAAAUUCACGGAAGGACGUUUGGGGUGUGGACGCUUCUUACUUGCACUAUGUGUUUCCUCUGCGCGUUUAACCUUGACAACAAACCGCUUUAUCUUGCAACCUUUUUAUCGUUCAUCUAUGCUCUUGGUCACUUUUUAACAGAAUACUUGGUUUACCACACCAUGGCUAUUCAAAAUCUUGCAACUGUUGGUUUCUUUGCAGGCACAUCGAUUGUAUGGAUGCUAUUAGAAUGGAAUGCGCAUAAGCCUCAAAUUCCAUCAAAGAAAGAAUGAAAAUGCAGAAGAUUCCUCUGACCUCUUAUAUGAAUGAUGACAAUAUUCAUGUGCACCGGAAAGGACUUAUAUCAGUUAGACUUAGAGAUCAGCUGAUUUAUACAUUAUAUAUGAGCGUUUGGACGAAAGAAAAUGUUGGGCUACAUGAUGCAAUUUGGGUCGGUCUAUGAUUAUACUAUUGUGUGGGUCGGUUCCUGUGCAGUUGGGCUACAAGAUGCAAUUUGGAUACUAGGAAUGUUGAAUUUCACACCCUUAAAUGCCCUCUUUGUGACAGAAGCUCUUGCUCUUGAAACUCAACCCCACCAGUUAAUUUCUUGUCGAACUGGAUAAAAUACUUGGUAUGUCUACAAAUGAAGGGCCAUCCCUUUACACUGGUUGCUUAGGAUCAAGCUGAACCUUCAUCUCUAAAGAUUUAUUGAUACUUAUUUUUACCAAGUCGAUAAUGAUGAUGGAAUAUAGAUACGACAGAUGGUGGUAUUAUGGUAAAAUAAUAUGGCGCAAUAUCCCCCAUCCCUUAGAUUUGCUGGGCAUUCAUGAGAUUGCUCCUAUUCAUCCUUAGAGUAAGUCCUUACUACACGCAGUUGUGGUACUUGAGUAUUUGGAAAAGCUCGAAAUGAAUUGCUUUUUCAAGGAGUUGCAUGGUCUAAUUUACGGGUGGUGGAGUUAGUAAAAUCAUUAGGCAAUACUCGUAUAUGUUUGGAUUACAUCCGACCAAGAUGAACAUUCUAAGGUGGGAGCAGAACUGGAUUAAAUUUUCCUUUUUGUAAUUAUAUAGUUAUCUGGUGUGUGCAUAUUAUCUUUAGCGUUUGUAUUGGGUUUGA